rnacentral:rRNA from 1 species
GACGAACGCUGGCGGCGUGCUUAACACAUGCAAGUCGAACGGGCUGCCUGGUUUUCGGAUCGGGUGGUGAGUGGCGAACGGGUGAGUAACACGUGAGUAACCUGCCCCUCUCUUUGGGAUAACGUCGGGAAAUCGGCGCUAAUACCGGGUAUUCUGGCUUCCUCGCAUGGGGUUGUUGGGAAAGGUUUUUUCUGGUGGGGGAUGGGCUCGCGGCCUAUCAGCUUGUUGGUGGGGUGAUGGCCUACCAAGGCGGUGACGGGUAGCCGGCCUGAGAGGGUGUCCGGCCACACUGGGACUGAGAAACGGCCCAGACUCCUACGGGAGGCAGCAGUGGGGAAUAUUGCACAAUGGGCGGAAGCCUGAUGCAGCGACGCCGCGUGGGGGAUGACGGCCUUCGGGUUGUAAACCUCUUUCAGUGCAGAACAAGGCUCUUUGUGGGUUGAGGGUAUGCGCAGAAGAAGCGCCGGCUAACUACGUG